CCGGGUCUGCGCAGCCACAGGUUCCGGACGUCUUGGCCCCGGGAAUAAAUAAAGACAUAAACCAACCCGGCUUUCUCCGGAGGAAUGAGGGUGAUGAACAUAAGACACAAAUAGAGCCAAGAUCGACUUUCUUAGGAAGGGGGAGAGGAGGGAACUCUUCACGAAGGGAGGUGGGAGUCCACCUCAGACCUCUAUUGGAAGGAAAUCGAGUUGUUCCGGGGGACUGAGGUCUCUUGCAUAAGGCAUGGGAUCCUUAUUAUUAUUAUUAUUAUUUUUAAAUCCCCCGCGGAGGAGCUCUGGGCAAAUGAAUACCGAGGCGCCGCUCUAGCUGGUUAGGCUUGGGAUGCGAUAACUCAGUGCCCUCUUGCAGACUUGCAUAGAAAUAAUUACUGGGUUGUCGUGGAGGGGACACGAGACAGAGGGAGUUCUCCGUAAUGUGCCUUGCGGAGAGAAAGGUCCAAGAAUGCAAUUCGUCCCAGAGUGGCCCGGCAGGGGCGGGGUGCGAGUGGGUGGUGGAGUAGGGGUGGGAGUGGAGAGAGGUGGUUUCUGUAGAGAAUAAUUAUUGUACCAGGGCCCGCCGAGGCACGAGGCACUCUAUUUUGUUUUGUAAUCACGACGACUAUUAUUUUUAGUCUGAUCAAUGGGCACAAUUUCUAAGCAGCGCAGUGGUGGAUGCUCGCAAACUUUUGCGCACCGCUGGAAACCCACUAGGUUGAGUUGCAAAACGUACCGCGUAGACGCCCCUGGUGGCGCCGAGAGAAGAGCUAGGCCUGCCCAGCACAGAGCCGGAGAGCGUCGGGCCUUCCGGAAGGGUCGACGAGAUGAGUUCCUACUUGACCUCUGAGCCGAGGUGGGCCGGAAACCGAGGCCUAGGCCCCGCCGGGGCUGCAAGGAAAAGGGGAAACUCCGAGCGUAGCGUCUUUUCCUUGUGGUUCCUUUCUCCGGCAUCCCGGACUGCGGG
ensembl:lncRNA TBX5-AS1 TBX5 antisense RNA 1